GCUCCGGUGGCCUAGUGGUUAUAGCGUCCGCCUCGGAUGCCGGAGGACAUGGGUUCGAUCGCCGAUCGAGUCA